AGAGAAACUCAGCAAUGGAGGGCUCUGCACUGCCUCAUCCAUGACAGCCACCUCAUCAGCAAGAAGAACCAAUACAGCGGCUUCGUCACGCAAGGACUGCCCGCGCUGCACUCCCAGAGCCCAGGACCUGGGCUGUGCUGAGAGCAGGUGGCAGAGCUGUUGGGCACGCAGAGCAUCUGGAUGCCCAGGUGACUGGCAUUAAAGCUGUGUAAGUGCUUUUACCAGACUGACUGCUCUGGGCUCCUGGAGCUCCUGAUUGUAGUGAAAUAACCCCUUUUCUGGAGUGGGGCCUUGCUCCCUCUGCCUCUCCACAGGGUGAUCUCACCACAGAGGGAAUGCUGGAGGAUCCUGGGCUCUCUCACUCAGUUAAUUACAGGGAUGAUCAUGCUGGGCACUUCACAGAGUUGCUCCACCUGCCAAUGCUGGAGAUCUGGGUUUGAUCCCCUGGGUCAAGAAGAUCCCCUGAAGAAGGAAAUGGCAACCCACUCCAGUAUCCUUGCCUGGAAAAUUCCAUGGACAGAGAGAGGAGCCUGGUGGGCUACAGUCCAAAGAGUCACAAAAGAGUCGGACAGGACUCUGAGCAACUAAACAAACAAAACGAGGCACAUAAAAUGCCUGGCGUGUUGCCCAACUCUGUUACUGUUUACACUUCUCAUUAUCAUCUUCUCCAGCUUUCUGAGGGAAUUUCAGAAGGUCCCUCACUAUUCUCAUGAAUAUUUGAUGUGAACUAUAAUAUAUUCUGUUAAAUAAGCUCAACUACAUUAAGUACUUUAAAUCCAUCUUGUUCAAAGUUGUCACUGAUUGGGUUCACCAGAAAGCUGACCUCAGGAUGGAGACUG
ensembl:lncRNA